UCUCUUCUCCAUUGUAUUUCCAAACAUCUAUUUUUCUCUCUUUUCAAUCGUCUCUUCAUUGAAAUGAUUUCACCUCCUACACUGUAUUCCUCUAAUUCUCUUCCUCAUUUCUUCUCUAUGAAGGCGAAGCAGCUAUAGGGUGGGGUCGGAGCUGGAGCAGGCAAGGUCCAAUUCCGACACACCUAAUGACUCAUGCCCACCGAUUUCUAUGCAAGAACGGCGUCGUAUCACCUGCAGCUGAUAUUCCUCCAGUUGCAGCUUUCCUCGAAGCUCAACCAGGUGCAUAUACAACCACUCGCACCCACAGCAAUGUCUCGCAGGUCUUAUUCUGGGAAAGGCAUCUAAGCAGGAUAUCCAAUUCCUUUAAAUUGUUGUUGAGAGAAAAGCCUAAUUUAUUACUCCCAAACCCCAUAAAUGAUACUACUAGAUUUUGGGAAUUGUCGACCCGUUCAGCGAUGUGGGACUCGGUGAUUAGGUCUCUAGUUCAUGAUUCCAUGAGAAAGGUGAUGCCUUUAGCUCUGAAGGGGAGGAAUUUGGGGGAGGAAUUGGCGAUUACUGUGCUUCUGAGUGGAAAUGGGAGGAUUUUGGAUUUAUGUGGAGGUAGGUUUGAUGAGGGACGGAUUUCUGAGGUGUUGGAUGUGUAUUUACACAUAAGCGGGUACAUUCCGGCUGCUUUUGGGUCUAGAGAGUGUGCAAAUCGCUUGGCAGUCGUGGGCCGUGGAAGGGAUUUUGCGAAUGCAAAGUAUGCUGAUUGGGUCAGGCUGAGGAAGAGCUUGGAGAGGUUGAGGCCACCUUCCGUUACUGAGCUUUUGUUAUCAAAUGACAGUGAACGAAUACUGGAAGGCUGUCUGACGAACUUUUUUAUUAUUAGCCUGAAGGAGAAAGAUGAAGAUGUUAGUCAUGCUGAACAGAGUGAAUUACAAAGCUGGAGUGCUAUAGAAGUUCAGACUGCUCCCUUGAGUGACGGUGUUCUUCCUGGAGUUGUGCGACAAGUAAUCAGAGACAUAUGUUUAAGUAAUGGAAUUCCUUUUAAAGAAGUUUCACCAUCAUGGUCGAAGCGCGACUUGUGGUUGGAAGCGUUUGUCACAAAUGGUCUUAGGAUUAUACAGCCUGUAGAGACAAUCCAAGCUCCGUGUGCUUGGGAAUCCAUUGAAUCAAGUAGUUGGAAGGAGAUACAAUGGGUGGAGAAAAGAUUUCAGAAUGGACCUGGGAUGAUCACAUCAAUGUUACAGAAGGAGAUUUUGGAGAGAGCCAGUUUUGAGUCAUAUCCCAUUGCUUCGUUUUAGGAAGGAUGGCCCAUUGUGUGACCUCCACUGAGCCCGUUGAUGAAGCAAGCAUAUUAAUGCCAUAAUCCGCGUUCAAGACAAAGUCGUUGUUGUCUAAGGAACAAGUUCUCAUGACCCUAAAAUAGAAAGUGUUCAUUUGUUUAAAGCUCUCUUCUACGGGUGGUGAAGAAACUUACUAUGUUGCACGUUUCCAUGUUUCUUGGCAAAACCGGACACACUUGUGUGCACUCUAUAAGAGGGCAGAGGCAUCUAAAGAAUGCGUCGGAAAAGCUGUGUUUGGAGUUCUCUCUUUUACCAUCAAGAGAAGAGGUGAUCUUAGCAAUACAUUAGAGCAUAUCCAAUGGCGGACGUCCAGUCGGACAUCCGCGACGGGUUACCGGGACGUCUGUCAUUGUGGCGUUUCAACUCGGAUACGGACGUCCCGUAAGGACGUCGGAUGUCCUCGGACGUGGGGGCGACGGGCGGUCGGACGUCCGCCAUUGUGGCAUGGGUCAGACGUCCGGUUUUUAAUUUUUUUUUAAA